rnacentral:lncRNA from 1 species
UUUGACUGCAACUUUGACUAUAACCUGCUGAUUUAAUGACUCACACUAAGUUUAGGGAGUGUGGGCUGCAAUCUUAAUUAUGAAAAUGUGGCCGAGCUCCUGAGAUUAGCAGCUAGCGUAAAUAUCAAAAACAUAUAAUGAAGACAGGAGACAAGUUCGUGGGCCCAAUGGCCACUAUAAAUAUGAGAAUGAUCCCCUAACUUCACCAUUUAUCAAAAUCUGCUUCUACACAAACCAAUGCAUUUUUUAAAAAUCUUUUAGAGUGGUGUAAUUUGCCUUCGUACCUGGACUGACAUGCACGUGAAGGCUGCCAAGGAGAGAGACCAGGUCUCUUCGGCAGUCACCUGGGUCAUGUGUGCAGAGGGUCUGUGAGUGGCUUUGUCAUCCCUGAGAACGUUUGCAGUGACCCUAUCUGUGUGCCCCUCUGCAUGUGUUUCCACGUGUGUCUGGACGACAGCCCCAAGCGUGUGGACGGAAGGCAGCACUUCACAAACAGCCAGACAGAGCACCACCUCUUUAGUGCAGCAGCCACAUUUGCAUAACAAAGCCCCCGAGGAAGAGGCAUGAUAAAUGUGAAGGACCCCUCUUGGAAAAAGAACUGUCAACCGCGCCCCGAAAGAUUCUCCGACCGAGCGCAUUCUCCCGGACUGCAGUCAGCGAAAAUAAAAUGAAAGCAUUAAAGAAAGUCAUUCUCUCAGAGAGAAAAAUCUCCCCCUCUGCACAGAGAGAACUGGAUGAAAUGACAUUAUGCAUAUGAAAAUGUCCAGAAAGAUGUUUGAUUUAUGUAUGCAUUAGAUGCAAAUUCCAUUACGGUGCGCGCGCUGUUGUGUGAUUUGGCGCUGAACACAUCAGCGCCCUGAUCAGAUCUGAUCUCAUUAAUUCCGACAAGGAGAGAGAGAGGGAAUUGAGAAGAAUUUAUGGCCUGGACACUUGAAAGAAGUAAAUUGUAAUUCUGUUUAAAGCUGUAGCGAACCUUUUAAACACCUUUUAUUAUAGGAAAGAAGCACUCACUUUUAUAACACUGUAAGGACUUACUUAAUCCUGCACUGGGGGCUCUGGUCUUCAUUUAGGGGGAAAAAAAUCUAUGACCUUGUUUAGGGGAAAGAAAAAAGAAGAGGAAAAUGUCUGUCUUGAACCAAAAUUCAGGGAAAACAUCACAAUAGUAGGAUCAAAGGAGAAAUGAUGCCUCUGUGAAUAAUUGGGUAAACGUUUGGUUUUAAGGAUCGUGUGUUUUGUUUUGUUUUGUUUUAGUGGCUUAAUAUUUUCAAAUAAAAUACCAAACAGUGAAUGAAUAUUUUUAUGGGACUGGGUAACAGAUUUACAUUUUAAAAUGUCUUUAUUUGCAUUACAGAUAAAAGCGCUACUAACAAUAUGUGACGGGAGAUGCAAUGGGAAAAGUUAUCUUUUGAAACCUCUACUUAUUAGGACUGCUUUGAAAGCACAGUCAAUUUCAGACCAAUAUGAAUAAUAAUGAUAAUAAUAAUAACCCC